rnacentral:rRNA from 1 species
AGGGUUUGAUCAUGGCUCAGGAUGAACGCUAGCGGCAGGCCUAAUACAUGCAAGUCGAGGGGCAGCGCGGGUAGCAAUACCUGGUGGCGACCGGCGCACGGGUGCGUAACACGUAUACAAUCUGCCUUUAACAGGGGGAUAGCCCGGAGAAAUCCGGAUUAAUACCCCAUAACACAGGAAGUAGCAUUACUUUUUGUUGAAAGCUCCGGCGGUUAGAGAUGAGUAUGCGUCUGAUUAGCUAGUUGGUGAGGUAACGGCUCACCAAGGCGACGAUCAGUAGGGGAUCUGAGAGGACUACCCCCCACACGGAUACUGAGACACGGAUCCGACUCCUACGGGAGGCAGCAGUAAGGAAUAUUGGACAAUGCCCGCAAGGGUGAUCCAGCCAUGCCGCGUGCAGGAAGACGGCCCUAUGGGUUGUAAACUGCUUUUACACCGGAGAAAACCCCCUUACGUGUAAGGGGCUGAUAGUAUGGUGAGAAUAAGCAUCGGCUAACUUCGUGCCAGCAGCCGCGGUAAGACGAAGGAUGCAAGCGUUAUCCGGAUUCAUUGGGUUUAAAGGGAGCGUAAGUGGCCUUAUAAGUCAGUGGUGAAAUCUCUGGGCUUAACCCAGAAAAUUGCCAUUGAUACUGUAGGGCUUGAGUAUAGAUGCCGUUGGGCGGAAUAUGACAUGUAGUGGUGAAAUACAUAGAGAUGUCAUAGAACACCGAUUGCGAAGGCAGCUAACGAAACUAUAACUGACACUGAGGCUCGAAAGUGUGGGGAUCAAACAGGAUUAGAUACCCUGGUAGUCCACACUGUAAACGAUGAUUACUCGCUGCUAGAGGGCAACUUUUAGUGGCUUAGCGAAAGCGAUAAGUAG